AUGAAUAUUAAGAAUCUGUGCUGUGCCUUUGUUUUUUUCACUGUGAUAAGUGAUGCUUUUCUCCCUGCCCUUCCCUCCUGCCUUGUCUCUUGUAAAGAACUUUUAUAUCUGUUAUUAGGAAUUCUGUAAGCGAGGUUUCAUCAUGCUCUUUUUGUUUUAUUCUUUUUUUUUUUUUCUGCAGUAAAAUUUUCUAAUACCCAUUAGCAAUGCAUAAAUCUAUUCUGGCAGAUUAUUUAGUUUUAUCUUUAGGUUGGCUUGAAUUUGGAGGAACUACAAUCAAAGUGGGCAUUGGAUUUUAAGAACUGUUCUAUAAUGGCUGCAACAGCUCUAUAUCACUGCAAAUUCUGAACUCCAUGAACUUGUUCCCUGUUUCUACAGCUUGGCUGAGUAAACUUUGCUCUGAAUGGCACCAUGAGUGCUUGAUGAAGCAGAGAACAGUCUAUUUCCAGCAUAUCUAGCACAGAGUGGGUGGAUCUCUGACUAAUUGAUAAUCUACAUGAGUUUCUAUGAAAUUCUGGAAUCUAGAUUACUGUGGGAUCAAACUGGACUUUGUUUUUGUUCCUGUACCUUUGACAACUUUCUCCCCAAAUGUGCAGAACUGAAUUUGCCUGACACUGAAGGGCUGAACCGUGAAUGUCCUUGACUUUGACUUCCAAAAUACCUGCUGCAUUUUGGUGUGGCAACUCAGCACUUCACUGAACCUGGGAAUCCAACUGAAAAAUAAGAAGACAGCUCUGCAACACCACACCUGUUGGUGGUUGACUUCAGGAAGUUCAGAUGGAUUAUCUGGAAGGCACAUACAGGGUUAGUACCUCUGUAAUAUCUGGUAACUGAAGACCUGUUGAAGGUAACAACAAACUCUCACUGCUGAGCCUCAGAGAAAUCCCAGGAGUUCCUGAAUUUCUC